UACAGGGGGUGCUAGCGUUGUUCGGAAUUACUGGGCGUAAAGGGCGCGUAGGCGGUUUCGCAAGUCAGGGGUGAAAUCCCGGAGCUUAACUCCGGAAUUGCUUUUGAUACUGUGAGGCUAGAGUGAGUUAGAGGAUGGCGGAAUUCCUAGUGUAGUGGUGAAAUACGUAGAUAUUAGGAAGAACACCGGUGGCGAAGGCGGCCAUCUGGGACUCAACUGACGCUGAGGCGCGAAAGCGCGGGGAUCAAACAGG
rnacentral:rRNA from 1 species